UACGGGGGGGGCAAGCGUUGUUCGGAAUUACUGGGCGUAAAGGGUUUGUAGGUGGCCGGCUAAGUCAGACGUGAAAUCCCUCAGCUUAACUGGGGAACUGCGUCUGGGACUGGUCGGCUUGAGGGCCGGAGAGGAACGCGGAAUUCCAGGUGUAGCGGUGAAAUGCGUAGAUAUCAGGAGGAACACCGAUUGCGAAGGCAGCUCGCUGGGACGUUACUGACGCUGAGACGCGAAAGCGUGGGGAGCAAACAGG
rnacentral:rRNA from 1 species